rnacentral:rRNA from 1 species
UACGUAGGGUGCGAGCGUUGUCCGGAAUUAUUGGGCGUAAAGAGCUUGUAGGCGGUCUGUCGCGUCUGCUGUGAAAAUCCGGGGCUCAACCCCGGACUUGCAGUGGGUACGGGCAGACUAGAGUGAUGUAGGGGAGACUGGAAUUCCUGGUGUAGCGGUGAAAUGCGCAGAUAUCAGGAGGAACACCAAUGGCGAAGGCAGGUCUCUGGGCAUUAACUGACGCUGAGGAGCGAAAGCAUGGGGAGCGAACAGG